UACGUAGGGAGCAAGCGUUGUCCGGAAUCAUUGGGCGUAAAGCGCGCGUAGGUGGCCAUGUAAGUCCGCUGUGAAAGUCAAAGGCUCAACCUUUGAAAGCCGGUGGAUACUGCAUGGCUAGAGUACGGAAGAGGCGAGUGGAAUUCCUGGUGUAGCGGUGGAAUGCGCAGAUAUCAGGAGGAACACCGAUGGCGAAGGCAGCUCGCUGGACGGUACUGACGCCGAGGCGCGAAAGCGUGGGAGCAAACAGG
rnacentral:rRNA from 1 species